UUGCAGUUUCCCCUUUGCAGGGAAUUAAAAGGGAACCGUGUGUGAAUCACGGGCUGUCCGCGCAACUGUAAGCACCCCGAAAAGUCGUCUUGACAAAUCCACUGUUCUGUCCGCAGGAUGGGAAGGAGAGGACGACCGGUGCAAGCCAGGAGACCUGCUGUGAUGGA
rnacentral:ncRNA from 1 species